CGGGAUGUGGCGCAGUUUGGGCAGCGCGUUCGCCUUGGGCGCGAAAGGUCCUCGGUUCAAAUCCGAGCAUCCCGACAA
rnacentral:tRNA from 2 species